GAUGAACGCUGGCGGCGUGCUUAACACAUGCAAGUCGAACGAUGAAGCCCAGCUUGCCGGGUGGAUUAGUGGCGAACGGGUGAGUAACACGUGAGUAACCUGCCCUUAACUCUGGGAUAAGCCUGGGAAACUGGGUCUAAUACCGGAUAGGAGCGUCCACCGCAUGGUGGGUGUUGGAAAGAUUUAUCGGUUUUGGAUGGACUCGCGGCCUAUCAGCUUGUUGGUGAGGUAAUGGCUCACCAAGGCGACGACGGGUAGCCGGCCUGAGAGGGUGACCGGCCCCCCUGGGACUGAGACACGGCCCAGACUCCUACGGGAGGCAGCAGUGGGGAAUAUUGCACAAUGGGCGCAAGCCUGAUGCAGCGACGCCGCGUGAGGGAUGACGGCCUUCGGGUUGUAAACCUCUUUCAGUAGGGAAGAAGCGAAAGUGACGGUACCUGCAGAAGAAGCACCGGCUAACUACGUG
rnacentral:rRNA from 1 species